UACGUAGGGGGCAAGCGUUGUCCGGAAUCAUUGGGCGUAAAGCGCACGUAGGCGGCUUUCUAAGUCGGGGGUGAAAUCCUGGAGCUCAACUCCAGAACUGCCUUCGAUACUGGAAAGCUCGAGUCCGGGAGAGGUGAGUGGAACUGCGAGUGUAGAGGUGAAAUUCGUAGAUAUUCGCAAGAACACCAGUGGCGAAGGCGGCUCACUGGCCCGGUACUGACGCUGAGGUGCGAAAGCGUGGGGAGCAAACAGG
rnacentral:rRNA from 1 species